AUGAACGCUGGCGGCGUGGAUAAGGCAUGCAAGUCAAGGGGACCGCAAGGUAACCGGCAAACGGGAUAGUAACAGGUGGGAACGUACCUAGAAGUCAGGAAUAACCUGCCGAAAGGCAGGCUAAUACUUGAUAGUCUCUUCGGAGUAAAGAUUUAUCGCUUCUAGAACGGCCUGCUUCGUAUCAGCUAGUUGGUAAGGUAAUGGCUUACCAAGGCUAUGACGCGUAGGGGAGCUGAGAGGCUGACCCCCAUCACUGGAACUGAGACACUGUCCAGACACCUACGGGUGGCUGCAGUCGAGAAUCUUCCGCAAUGCACGAAAGUGUGACGGAGCGACGCCGCGUGGUUGAUGAAGCUCUUCGGAGUGUAAAGACCUUUUAUCGGGGAAGAAGUUUUGACGGUACUCGAUGAAUAAGGGGCUGCUAACCUCGU
rnacentral:rRNA from 1 species